UACGAAGGACCCGAGCGUUAUCCGGAUUUAUUGGGUUUAAAGGGUGCGUAGGCGGAACGGCAAGUCAGCGGUGAAAUCCUGUUGCUUAACAACAGAAUUGCCAUUGAUACUGCCGAUCUUGAAUACAUUUGAUGUGGGCGGAAUGUGCCAUGUAGUGGUGAAAUACUUAGAUAUGGCACAGAACACCGAUCGCGAAGGCAGCUCACAAAACUGUUAUUGACGCUGAGGCACGAAAGCGUGGGGAUCAAACAGG
rnacentral:rRNA from 1 species